rnacentral:rRNA from 1 species
UACACUCCUACGGGAGGCAGCAGUGGGGAAUAUUGGACAAUGGGCGCAAGCCUGAUCCAGCCAUGCCGCGUGAGUGAUGAAGGCCCUAGGGUUGUAAAGCUCUUUCACCGGAGAAGAUAAUGACGGUAUCCGGAGAAGAAGCCCCGGCUAACUUCGUGCCAGCAGCCGCGGUAAUACGAAGGGGGCUAGCGUUGUUCGGAAUUACUGGGCGUAAAGCGCACGUAGGCGGAUCGAUCAGUCAGGGGUGAAAUCCCAGGGCUCAACCCUGGAACUGCCUUUGAUACUGUCGAUCUGGAGUAUGGAAGAGGUGAGUGGAAUUCCGAGUGUAGAGGUGAAAUUCGUAGAUAUUCGGAGGAACACCAGUGGCGAAGGCGGCUCACUGGUCCAUUACUGACGCUGAGGUGCGAAAGCGUGGGGAGCAAACAGGAUUAGAUACCCCAGUAGUCCCAUG